GGGACAAGCCCUGGAAACGGGGUCUAAUACCGGAUACGAGUUCCCAUGGCAUCUUGGGGACUGGAAAGCUCCGGCGGUGAAGGAUGAGCCCGCGGCCUAUCAGCUUGUUGGUGAGGUAACGGCUCACCAAGGCGACGACGGGUAGCCGGCCUGAGAGGGCGACCGGCCACACUGGGACUGAGACACGGCCCAGACUCCUACGGGAGGCAGCAGUGGGGAAUAUUGCACAAUGGGCGCAAGCCUGAUGCAGCGACGCCGCGUGAGGGAUGACGGCCUUCGGGUUGUAAACCUCUUUCAGCAGGGAAGAAGCGAAAGUGACGGUACCUGCAGAAGAAGCGCCGG
rnacentral:rRNA from 1 species